rnacentral:hammerhead_ribozyme from 1 species
AUCCGGCUGACGAGUCCCAGAUAGAACGAAACGCGUCUUCUGGAU